rnacentral:rRNA from 1 species
UCGAGAAUUUUUCUCAAUGGGCGCAAGCCUGAAGGAGCGACGCCGCGUGGGGGAUGAAGGGUUUCGAUCCGUAAACCCCUGUCAUUUGUGAACAAUGGUUGCGAUUGAACAUUUCGUAACUUGAUAGUAAUGAAAGAGGAAGGGACGGCUAACUCUGUGCCAGCAGCCGCGGUAAUACAGAGGUCCCGAGCGUUGUUCGGAUUCACUGGGCGUAAAGGGUGCGUAGGUGGCAUGGAAAGUUUGAUGUGAAAGCUCAGGGCUUAACCCUGAAAUGGCAUUGAAUACUGCCGUGCUGGAGGUUUGGAGGGGGGACUGGAAUUCUUGGUGUAGCAGUGAAAUGCGUAGAUAUCAAGAGGAACACCAGUGGCGAAGGCGAGUCCCUGGACAACACCUGACACUGAGGCACGAAAGCUAGGGGAGCAAACAG